rnacentral:lncRNA from 10 species
GUUUUUCCAACACUAUGUGAUCACUUAUUGUCUCUGUAUCACAUUUUCAUAAUUCUCACAGUAUUUCAAACUUCUUCAGUAUUAUUAUAUGAUAUGGUUUGGCUCAAACCAGAUCUCCAAACCAAAUCUCAUCUUGAAUUUCCAUGUGUUGUGGGAGGGACCUGGUGGGAGGUAAUUGAAGCAUGGGGGCAGGUCUUUCCCGUGCUGUUCUCAUGAUAGUAAGUAAGCCUCACCAGGUCCGAUGGUUCCAUAAGGGGGAGUUUCUCCACAAGAACUCUCUCUUUGCCUGCCACCAUCCAUAUAAGACAUAACUUGUUCCUCCUUGCCUUCCACCAUGAUUGUGAGGCCUCCUCAGCCAUGCGGAACUGUCACUGCUUUGCCUGAGGGGAGUGACUGAUGGAGGAGGCACACCUGACGUCGACGCAGACCGGCCUAAUUUGCAGCUUACUUUAGGCUCUGGAAACAAGCGGAAAAAGACACAAUAUUAGCUGACUGACAUCUGGAAUAAUGAAGUGGCUUUUCAGUCUUUCUGUUUGUUUCGCUACUUAUUCUUGGAAUAUACAAAAUGCUCCUGAUGUUUGCUAAUAAGUAGCAGGUGAUAAAACACUUUCAUGGCAGUUGACUCUAAAAGGAGCUUUAUACCCAGAUUGGCUUCUGGGGAACAACUCUCAGAAGCACAGGCCUUGUGCCUUUGCACAUUUUACCUCACUUAGGGUUGGUUUCUAUGGAGUCAUCCCUGGAGCAACAACAACCCAUUAGGAGAACAAUUUCACAUCAUUCCUAACCUAAAUGCAUUUGGAAUUUCCUAUGGUGUUUCUGAGACCAGGCUGAUGAAACAAAUCCUUACAAGGUUGCAUCCACCAAGGUUUCUUUGACCAAAAGAAUUAUCUCAAGCAAUCAUGAAAAUCCUAGAAAAUAUUCUAAUUAUAACCAUGCCUUUCAGAGAUCCUUUAGGCCUGUGACAUCAAAGUGCAAUUGUUCAGCUCAACUAACUUGACCAAAAGAAUUAUCUGAAGCAAUCCUGAAAAUUCUAGAAAAGAUUCAAAUCAAGCCUCUCACAGAUCCUUUAGGAUCUGUGCAUCUAAAUGCAAUGUUUGGCUCACCUACCUUUGGAAAUGCAAUGCUCUUUGAGACUUGAACGGUGAGGCUGAGGAGUCAUGACACUGGACAAUAAGUUUUGAUCCUGAAUUUUAAUAGAAUAAUUGCCAAGAAUUUUGGGGUCCACCAACAAGGGGCACAUACCUGGAAAGAGAUCUAAGACAGAGCUUUCCUACCCCAAGGAAAUCCUAAUUGAGAGAUUAAUUAUUAACUAGAAGGCACUUGUUCUUCCUAAGUCCAAGGAAAUAUUUCUUCCUUUGAAAACUCUUCUAGUAUCAUCCCAGAAGUAAAAGUUGACUCACUUGUGCAAUUUAGUGAAGAUCAAGUGUAAAGAGAAUAAGAAAAAAAUGAGAAAGAGGUUGAUUCAGAAAGAGAGAGAGAGAAAGGCAGU